UACUUUUUGGGCAACCCAAUAUUUCGCAGAAUUGAGUUUAAGCUGCAGAUUUUUAGAAGCAAUGUGUCAUCUCUAGCCUCAGCGCCUGUUAAAGUGGAUCAGAGGUAUGUUAUUUCCUCAGCUUGCGUUAUUCAAAAGGGUCAAAUAGGCGUAUUACCUGCAUUAUUUGUUAAAAAAGUUAAAAAUUUCAAAUCUAUAUCAAUCGUUUACCAUGUCGUGUCACCUUUAUGUACGAUCGUAAAUACUCGAAUUUUUGCAGCUACAAGUAUGAAUACACCAAGGAGCAAAUCGAAUGACAAUAGAAGACGAAGAGGCUGGUUUUCGGGAUGGAAUAACUUGCUCCAUGUGCUCAACGAAACAGAUAUUUGAAUGAAAAUCGUUUGGAACUUUUAAAUCGUAAUGAUGAGGCUGAUGGCAUUCUAUUCGGGUCUUAAUAAUUCAAGUUACAAAUGGGAAGCGGGUUGGGCGCUUAUUUUACUUAUUGAGUGCUAUAAAAGUAGCGUCUUAAUCACUGAUCUCGAUUUGCGCAGAUUUGUACAAAUUCUGAAGUUUGCAUUGGGCGUGACCGCAGAUAAAUGGGGCAUAUAAUCGCUUGAAUAUUUAGCUAUAAUCAGUAAAUUGUGGGAUUGAAGAGUCAUGAGUAAAAACCAAUGUAUCCAAUUAGAGUUAAACGAUAUGCUGAAAGCACUUGAUGUUGUUCAUAUAGAAUGUAGAUUUCUUUUAAUGAAAUGAUAUUAGGAUUAUACAUAUGUACAUUAAAUAUAAAAAACAAAAUAUGGAAAAAUAAGCAGAAAAGAAAAAAGUGUUAAGACCGUGUAAGACCAUUUUUAAUUUUGGCUAACUAACCUUGUUCUAUGUACGUCGCCUGCAUUGGAGUUGCUGCUGUUGCUUGUCUGCAUAGCUGUUCCUGUUUCUGCUGUUGCUACUACUUUACAGACGAUUUGCUGUAAAGGUAAAUGAUUAAUUAAUUAAAGAGCAACAAGUACAACGCGCCUAAGAAGGGAAGAGGAACUUACCAUCCUUAUAAAAAUAUAACACUUAGCUAGUAGUGCACUCCUAGCUAUUGAGCUGUCAUUAUUUAAUUCUUAGUUUUGACUACUUAAUGUGAGGCCACCAAUGUCGAAGAAAAUUUAAUAAUAAUACA